rnacentral:rRNA from 1 species
CACGAGCGCACCCUUGUCCUAGUUGCUACCCAGAGUACUCUAGGGAGACUGCCGGUGACAAACCGGAGGAAGGUGGGGAUGACGUCUAGUCCUCAUGGCCCUUAUGGGUAGGGCUUCACACGUCAUACAAUGGUCGGAACAGAGGGUCGCCAACCCGCGAGGGGGAGCCAAUCCCAAAAAACCAAUAGUAGUCCGGAUCGCAUUCUGCAACUCGACUGCGUGAAGCUGGAAUCGCUAGUAAUCGCGGAUCAGCAUGCCGCGGUGAAUACGUUCCCGGGUCUUGUACAC